AAUUUUUAAGUGUGACAGUAGUGAAUUCAUAGUCAAGAGCGAAUCACCUACGAUCUACGAAAGCCCACGAAAUUCAAAAGCCACAUAGCCAGUACAGAAGUAGUUGUAUUUAUAAUUAAAAAUCGAGCGAAAAAUCGAGCGUGCAUAAUUUCAAACGUUUCUGUUCAAACAAAUUAAAGAAAAAUUAGAUUUUUGCUGUAUAGCAUAAAGAGCUGAGCUAAGCCCAAAUAAGCCUACCACUUUUAAAGUAUUUUUACAUUUCAAAAAAUUCUGAAACAAAAGAAUCAACAAAAACUCUAUAACAAUCGCAAUGGCCGCUGUUCAACGAAAAUUGGUACACAAGCAAUUCAACUCCCCAAUGGGACUUUACUCGCAGCAAAAUGUCAAAGAGACAUUGGAUCGUGAGCUGAAAGCUUUCGGCGCU